rnacentral:rRNA from 1 species
GUUUGAUCAUGGCUCAGAUUGAACGCUGGCGGCAGGCUUAACACAUGCAAGUCGAGCGGAGAUGAGGUGCUUGCACCUUAUCUUAGCGGCGGACGGGUGAGUAAUGCUUAGGAAUCUGCCUAUUAGUGGGGGACAACAUUCCGAAAGGAAUGCUAAUACCGCAUACGCCCUACGGGGGAAAGCAGGGGAUCUUCGGACCUUGCGCUAAUAGAUGAGCCUAAGUCGGAUUAGCUAGUUGGUGGGGUAAAGGCCUACCAAGGCGACGAUCUGUAGCGGGUCUGAGAGGAUGAUCCGCCACACUGGGACUGAGACACGGCCCAGACUCCUACGGGAGGCAGCAGUGGGGAAUAUUGGACAAUGGGCGGAAGCCUGAUCCAGCCAUGCCGCGUGUGUGAAGAAGGCCUUUUGGUUGUAAAGCACUUUAAGCGAGGAGGAGGCUACUUAGAUUAAUACUCUAGGAU